AUGAACGCUGGCGGCGUGCCUAAUACAUGCAAGUCGAGCGAACGGACGAGAAGCUUGCUUCUCUGAUGUUAGCGGCGGACGGGUGAGUAACACGUGGAUAACCUACCUAUAAGACUGGGAUAACUUCGGGAAACCGUAGCUAAUACCGGAUAAUAUUUUGAACCGCAUGGUUCAAAAGUGAAAGACGGUCUUGCUGUCACUUAUAGAUGGAUCCGCGCUGCAUUAGCUAGUUGGUAAGGUAACGGCUUACCAAGGCAACGAUGCAUAGCCGACUUGAGAGGGUGAUCGGCCACACUGGAACUGAGACACGGUCCAGACUCCUACGGGAGGCAGCAGUAGGGAAUCUUCCGCAAUGGGCGAAAGCCUGACGGAGCAACGCCGCGUGAGUGAUGAAGGUCUUCGGAUCGUAAAACUCUGUUAUUAGGGAAGAACAUAUGUGUAAGUAACUGUGCACAUCUUGACGGUACCUAAUCAGAAAGCCACGGCUAACUACGUG
rnacentral:rRNA from 1 species